UCCACACUGCAAACAGGAAAUGGUGAAGGAAGCAAGAUUGAAAAGACAAGUCUGUCCCUGUCACUGCGAGAGCUUGCCAGUUCAAGGGGGAUAAGCUGAGGAAAUACAGACCUUUCUGCAUUGCACUUGCUGGGGGGGGCUUGGACCCACAGCUCAGAACUGCGGGUCAGAGGAAAACAGAGUACACCGCCAGGCAAAGGGAUGCUUCUGGUCACAGGUCCUUCUGGCACUGACACUUAGAUUGUCUUCCCUCUGUCAGCCCCCGCUGGCGCCUCAAGCCCUACCUCUUGCCUGGACCAGAGAGAGCACAAGCAGGAGGAGAGGCAGAGGGAGAGGGAGAAGUAGACUCCCCGCUGAGCAGGGAACCCGACGCCAAGCUCCAUCCCAGGACCCUGGCAUCAUGACCUGAGCCGAAGGCAGACGCUUAACUGACUGAGCCACCCAGGCGUCCCUAAACUGAUAUUCUAAAACAAGUAACAAUGACAUCACUCUCCUGAUUAAAACCUUUUAAGGACUUACCACUGGCCUUCCAAAUUCCUCAAUCAGUACGCAAGCUCCUUGAGGACACAGGCCAUGUCUGAUUUCUGUGCUAGAAAUUUGUUUGUCCUUCUCUGCUUUGCUGUGAGCCCCAAGAGGUUGGCCCAUCCCAACUACAUCAGUGGAAUUCAGCCAAUGGAGAGAAGAGAGGGAGAUGAAAAUGCUCCUUCACCAGCUGGAUGAGUCCGUCAACGAAAGGUCACACAGCUCCUGCCAAGGGGCCCUAUCCACAGGGCUCUCUCCUGGAUUCUGGGAAUUUUCUCUACUCUUAUCCCUGCAGCCCAGGACAGAUAACCGCUUCCUGAUGUUACCAGCUCCAGGGUAUUCCACUAUCCCUUGUUUUCCUGUACUCUGACCUCACCAUUGAAAAUAAUCUCUUGGGGCGCCCGGGUGGCUCAGUCGUUAAGCGUCUGCCUUCGGCUCAGGU